AUCACUUCUCGGCCUUUUGGCUAAGAUCAAGUGUAGAAUCUAUAAAGAACUCAAAAAAAUCAGACCCCCC
ensembl:snRNA U2 U2 spliceosomal RNA